UCCUACGGGAGGCAGCAGUGGGGAAUUUUAGACAAUGGGCGAAAGCCUGAUCCAGCAAUGCCGCGUGCAGGAUGAAGGCCCUCGGGUUGUAAACUGCUUUUGUACGGAACGAAAAGCCUGGGGCUAAUAUCCCCGGGUCAUGACGGUACCGUAAGAAUAAGCACCGGCUAACUACGUGCCAGCAGCCGCGGUAAUA
rnacentral:rRNA from 1 species